rnacentral:ncRNA from 1 species
GAGAAUGCGAUGAUGAGAACAAGUACUUCACAAGAGCCAGGCCUAGAGAGUCGGUGGUAGGUGCGAACCGAUCCGGUUAUGUGAGGGAAUCCAUCUCGGAGUGGCAAAGGAACAACAACUUUGUCCGGAACCGUCCCGUUAUGACGGAAGAGUGGACAUAUGCAUGAAGGAUUACUGCAUGUGUCAACGAGGGUGGCAACGCGGGUAUACAACACUCGUCCCUUAC